rnacentral:rRNA from 1 species
AGCUUGCUUUUUUGAGACCGGCGCACGGGUGAGUAACGCGUAUGCAACCUACCUUAUACAGGGGAAUAGCCCGAAGAAAUUCGGAUUAAUGCUCCAUGGUUUAUCGAUAUGGCAUCGUAUUGAUAAUAAAGAUUUAUCGGUAUAAGAUGGGCAUGCGUAUCAUUAGCUAGUUGGUGUGGUAACGGCAUACCAAGGCAACGAUGAUUAGGGGUCCUGAGAGGGAGAUCCCCCACACUGGUACUGAGACACGGACCAGACUCCUACGGGAGGCAGCAGUGAGGAAUAUUGGUCAAUGGAGGCAACUCUGAACCAGCCAUGCCGCGUGCAGGAUGACGGUCCUAUGGAUUGUAAACUGCUUUUGUACAGGAAGAAACCUCCCUACGAGUAGGGACUUGACGGUACUGUAAGAAUAAGGAUCGGCUAACUCCGUGCCAGCAGCCGCGGUAAUACGGAGGAUCCGAGCGUUAUCCGGAAUUAUUGGGUUUAAAGGGUUCGUAGGCGGCUUUGUAAGUCAGUGGUGAAAUUUCCUAGCUUAACUAGGACACUGCCAUUGAUACUGCAGAGCUUGAAUAAUAUGGAAGUAACUAGAAUAUGUAGUGUAGCGGUGAAAUGCUUAGAUAUUACAUGGAAUACCAAUUGCGAAGGCAGGU